rnacentral:rRNA from 1 species
ACGUACACUCCUGCGGGAGGCAGCAGUGAGGAAUAUCGGCCAAUGGGUGGAAGCCUGAUCCAGCCAUCCCGCGUGCAGGAAGACGGCCCUAUGGGUUGUAAACUGCUUUUAUCUGGGGAUAAACCUACUUACGUGUCAGUAGCUGAAGGUACCAGAAUAAUAAGCACCGGCUAACUCCGUGCCAGCAGCCGCGGUAAUACGGAGGGUGCAAGCGUUAUCCGGAUUUAUUGGGUUUAAAGGGUCCGUAGGCGGACUGAUAAGUCAGUGGUGAAAUCCGACAGCUUAACUGUCGAACUGCCAUUGAUACUGUUAGUCUUGAGUAAGGUUGAAGUGGCUGGAAUAAGUAGUGUAGCGGUGAAAUGCAUAGAUAUUACUUAGAACACCAAUUGCGAAGGCAGGUCACUAAGUCUUAACUGACGCUGAUGGACGAAAGCGUGGGGAGCGAACAGGAUUAGAAACCCGAGUAGUCCCAUGAU